GCCUGGCUGCUCAGAUGGUAAAGAAUCUGCCUGCAGUGCAGAAGACCCGGGUUCAGUCCCUGGGUCAGGAA
rnacentral:tRNA from 1 species